rnacentral:rRNA from 1 species
ACGAACGUUGGCGGCGUGCUUAACACAUGCAAGUCGAACGGAAAGGCCCUGCUUUUGUGGGGUGCUCGAGUGGCGAACGGGUGAGUAACACGUGAGUAACCUGCCCUUGACUUUGGGAUAACUUCAGGAAACUGGGGCUAAUACCGGAUAGGAGCUCCUGCUGCAUGGUGGGGGUUGGAAAGUUUCGGCGGUUGGGGAUGGACUCGCGGCUUAUCAGCUUGUUGGUGGGGUAGUGGCUUACCAAGGCUUUGACGGGUAGCCGGCCUGAGAGGGUGACCGGCCACAUUGGGACUGAGAUACGGCCCAGACUCCUACGGGAGGCAGCAGUGGGGAAUAUUGCACAAUGGGCGGAAGCCUGAUGCAGCAACGCCGCGUGCGGGAUGACGGCCUUCGGGUUGUAAACCGCUUUCGCCUGUGACGAAGCGUGAGUGACGGUAAUGGGUAAAGAAGCACCGGCUAACUACGUG